rnacentral:rRNA from 1 species
CCAGACUCCUACGGGAGGCAGCAGUGAGGAAUAUUGGUCAAUGGCCGGAAGGCUGAACCAGCCAAGUCGCGUUAGGGAAUAAGGCCCUAUGGGUCGUAGACCUCUUUUGUCAGGGAGCACAGGCGUCCCCGUGUGGACGAGAGGCGAGUACCCGAAGCCCCAGCAUCGGCUACCUCCGUGCCAGCAGCCGCGGUAAUACGGCGGCUGCGAGCGUUAUCCGGAUUUAUUGGGUUUAAAGGGUGCGUAGGCGGAGUGUCAAGUCAGCGGUAAAAUUGCGGGGCUCAACCCCGUCGUGCCGUUGAAACUGGCGUUCUUGAGUGAGCGAGAAGUAUGCGGAAUGCGUGGUGUAGCGGUGAAAUGCAUAGAUAUCACGCAGAACUCCGAUUGCGA